UGCGUAGGUGGUUUGUUAAGUCAGAUGUGAAAGCCCCGGGCUCAACCUGGGAACUGCAUUUGAUACUGUCAGGCUAGAGUGUGGUAGAGGGAAGUGGAAUUCCGGGUGUAGCGGUGAAAUGCGUAGAUAUCUGGAGGAACACCGGUGGCGAAGGCGGCUUCCUGGACCGACACUGACACUGAGGCACGAAAGCGUGGGUAGCAAACA
rnacentral:rRNA from 1 species